rnacentral:rRNA from 1 species
UACGGGGGGGGCAAGCGUUGUUCGGAAUUACUGGGCGUAAAGGGCUCGUAGGUGGCCAACUAAGUCAGACGUGAAAUCCCUCGGCUUAACCGGGGAACUGCGUCUGAUACUGGAUGGCUUGAGUUCGGGAGAGGGAUGCGGAAUUCCAGGUGUAGCGGUGAAAUGCGUAGAUAUCUGGAGGAACACCGGUGGCGAAGGCGGCUACCUGGACUCAUACUGACGCUGAGGCACGAAAGCAUGGGGAGCAAACAGG